UCGUCAGUCACACGGAGCCUCGCGCGCCAAGUUUGAGAGGUGCGCGACCGCGCUUAAUGACGUCAACGCGCACCACGCGGCACGGGAAGUGACGUCAAUGCGGCGCGCGCGGCGAGUGUAAACCUCCCCCUUCACAGAGCCUCGUGUGGGUAAACAGAAAACGCCAGUAGGAUGUUUUGAGUAUGACCUUGUUCAGGUUUCUGCAGGGCAGGUGACAGAUACACAUCCUCUGGCCUGUCAAACAGCAGGGGUCAAAGUUCAACUGUGAUGUCGUACGGAUCAGGACCCGACUCAGGUAUCAGUAGAUCCCACGUUGUUGUUUGUUUUACUUGUUUACUUGUUACUGUGUUUGACCUUGACACGAUAUUUGAGCUGCAACUAACAAUUAUUUUCAUUAUUGAUUAAUCUGUCGGUUAUUUUCUCCAUUAAUCGAUCAGUUGUUUGGUUCAUAAAAUGGUGAAAAAUGUUGAUCGUGUUUCCCAAAACCCUCAAGAUGAUGUUUUGCUUUGUCCUCACACCAAAGAUAAUCAGUUCACUGUCACAGAGGAGCAAAUAAACCAGGAAAUAUUCAUAUUUAAGAAGCUGAAAUCAGAGAAUAAUUUCAGAACACCGACUUGAACAGAUUAUUUGAUUAUCAAAAUAGUUGCCGGUUAAUUUAGUAGUUAAUUACUAAUCGAUUAACUGUUGCAGCGCAACACGAUAUGGCCAAAAGUAUUUGGACCUUCUGAUUUCGGCCCCUGAACUAACACGACAAUGCUUUACUGUAAAAUCCAUGAAACCGACGAAGGUAAUUAGAAAGUUGCAUCUUAAAACUGCUUAUUUCGUCUAAAGAAAACUUUCCGUUUAUUCUGUAGAUGUUUUUUUUUAUAUUACAUGUUUAGUGAUGGUCUUGCCAACCAAUUUAUCAAUAAGGUGAUAGAAAGACAUAUUGAUAUCACCUGUAUGUUUGAUGAAAACUUUUAUUUCAGAGAAUAAACAAUGCAGAAAACAUGUGUAUUGACAUGUAAUGUUAAAAAAAAUUAGUUUUUCUAAAUCAAGUUCUGUAUUUUUGUGUUUUCUUCCUAUUUAUAGUUAUUUAUAAUUUACGUUUAUGGUUAAAUUGUAAAAUAUCAAGCCUCAAUUACAUUAUUUUGUCAUAUGGGUUUGAGAAUGACAUAAUAGGAAUUGCUGACAAUCAUAUUAUAUAAAUCUCACCACAUCUACAUUUUGGAAUUUUUUUUUACCCCAUAAUAUCGUUAUCUGCAUCGGUCCCCAAAAAUCCAUAUCCGUCGGGCUCCUGCUGUAAUGGCAAAUUUCCUCUAUGUGGAACUAAUAAAGGACGACCUCUUUAUAUCCGAUCGUAAAAUCGGAAUGUUUGUGAAUAAGUUUUGCUUAUGUGGACAACCCUGUCCACAUACUUUUGGCCUGUUCGUCUUUGCAGCGGGUUCAACGUGGAGCAUGUGGUUGUGCGUCACGUUCCUACCUUCGAACUCCACGUAGACUUUCCAGUGGAGGUUCUGCAGAUGCCGACGCAGCUUGUGGCUGUAACAGGCUUUGAACUUCUCCUCCGGACACAGAGGACACGACUUCCGUCCCGCUGACAAGAGAAAAACACACAAAACCAAAUCCGGCUGCAGCUAAACAUUUGUUUCCACUACCGUGUUCAUUUGCAGAUUAUUUGUCUGGAUUCAUCAGUUUGUCAUUCGGGGUGUGUGUGUGUGUGUGUGUGAACUCACCUCCGUUGAGGUCGACCAGCGUCUCCAGUCCGUCCAGUUGGGUUUGGAUGGAGACGUGUCUCUCUGUCAGUGCAAAACAGGAGAGUUUUUACCCGUAAAGUCUAGAAAACGACCGUCUGUAAAGUUGUCAGUUGACUAUCGUGUUCAAAUCAAAUCUUCCUCCUGAGAGUCAGUGAAAACUAAACAAGAGGAACAGCAGCUCGUGUUGAAUCACCGGUGGUGGAUGUGGUGGUGGAGGGUUUGGCAUCGUCGUCUGCAGCAGCUUCGCUCUCCGCUGCUCGUUCUGCAGCUCGGUCAGAAGAAAAGAAAGAAAAAAAACAUCAGCUCAAAACUCUUCACUUCGUUUGGUUUGAACCAAAAGAGCCGGUGAUGAACGGUGACUCGGACGACAGUUCCAGAAUACGUUGCGUUCACAUUGAAUUUUCAGACGCGGCCGGAAACAGGAAAUGGAAUCGGCGGUCCGCCACAAUAAAGUGUGCCCGGUCGGUCGCUCAGUUGGUUGUGGUUUGACACUUCACCACCGGAAAAUUACAAGAAUUACACACUGGGGCUUUAAAGUUACCAGGUCCCAAUGCAUAUUUCUGGUAACUGACUGAUUGCACAUUCUGCACUAUUUCAUGUAAAUUCUUUAUACUUAUUUAUUUUUUCUCUUUCUUGUUAUGCGUAUAUUUUGUAAUUUUUUUUGUAUAUAUUGUAUAUUUCGUAUGGUGUGUUUCGUGUUGUGUGUAACUGCUGCUGUAACACUGGGAUUUCUCGGCUUAGGAUCAAUAAAGUACCUGUCUGUC